rnacentral:lncRNA from 10 species
AAGCAUAUUGAUUGUAUUAUGCUGCUAGUCUCUUCUUCUCAACCCUGAAUUUGGAUUUCACCCAACUUCAAAUUCUUCUACUUCUUCUAUAAUAUGGAUCUCUUCCCCUUUCAUCAGCUCUGGAGUUGGUGGUCAGCUUGGACCUUGGCAUCCCUUAUGGAAUCUCUCCAGCUUCUCCAGCAGUGAAGUUGGAGCCUUGUGACCUGUGCCCGACAGACUGUACUGUGAGCAGAAGCAGUGUGUUUUCCUGAGCUAAGGCAGUUCCCACGAGUGAACCUCCCUGAGCUGUAGAGACCUCGAACAAUGUGUGUUUCAGUUGGCCUACCUGACAAUGGAGAGGGCUAACACACAUCGGACAGGAUGAGUGUGGAAAAUAAUUCAUUCUCACGUUAAUCACUGGAUUUCCGAGUUUGCACUUGCAACCCCUAAUGUUCAAUGCCUUUACUAAUGUAGAUAUUGGAAAUUGAAGUUAGAUGCUACUGUAUCAAAAACAUAAAAUAUAUGCUAUUGGGUCAGUUUCAGAUGUGAAUGGCGAGGUGACUGGUAUUAGAGGAAGAAAAUGUAGUGGUUGGGUCAGGCUAACCCAAAGCAUAAAAGGACAUUGCCACCUGUGAUCAGAAGGGAGGUUAGCCACAUGCUUAUUGUUUUGCAAUUUAGAAAAAGAGCUUGGAAAGAAGUGUGUUUUCUGAAUUGGCUACUAUUGGUGGUAGUUGGCAAGAUGCUGUAGAGGUGAAUUGAGCGGGGAAAAAGUUACCAGCUAGCAAUUAGAAAUCAAAAGGGGCCAGGCGCGGUGGCUCACGCCUGU